rnacentral:lncRNA from 1 species
GAAUUGUAUUUAAAUACAGACUUUCUUCUUCCUGGGCCCCCCAAAGGCCUCCCUUUCCAGAGCCUCCCUAACCUUCCCCCAUGCCUGCCAGUAACUGUGGUUUCUUGGUAAGGCAGCUAAGGUUCAUUAUUAUUAUUUAUACAAACACAAUGUACAGAAGUAGAAAAGUACAAAAAAAAGUAACCAGUGGAAAAUAAUUCUUUUUCUUACCUUCAGCCAUUCAGCGACCAAAGCACUGGUAUCAGAUUUUUUAUAUUCUCCUGGAGUUAUUCCAUGAAUAUACAAGUAUACAAAUUUAUAUAAAUUGAGAAAGGUAUGCUCUUGCUCUUUCUCUGUUUUUUUUGUUUGUUUGUUUUUAGACAGAGUCUCAUUCUGUUACCCAGGAUGGAGUGCAGUGGCAUGAUCUUGGCUCACUGCAACCUCUGCCUCCUGAGUUCAAGUGACUCUUGUGCCUCAGCCUCCCGAGUAGCUGGGACUAUAGGCAUCGCCACCACACCCAGCUAAUUUUUUUGUAUUUUUAGUAGAAAGGGGUUUCACUAUGUUGGCCAAGAUGGUCUCAAACUCCUGACCUCAAGUAAUCCACCCACCUCUGCCUCCCAAAGUGCUAAGAUUACCAGCAUGAGCCACUGCACCCAGCCAGAGGGCUUUCAGUGGUGUGCCCUCCACCCUGACAUGAGGAUGAAGCUGGAUAAUUAUCACCCUUUGGCAGUAAAAAUGAUGCUAAUCAUUGCACAGCUGGUGAGAAUAACCAGGUACAGAGUCUCUCCACCUAGCUAUAGGUGGCUUGUAAAUUACUUGCUGAGAAGACAACAGACACACCUACAUCAUACCUGUCAAGGUAACCAGUGGAUAUCCUUAGGCUUGGAUCAUAGCAUGAAGAAAGUCAUCACCUCAGCAGUUCUAAGGGGCACUGUGUGAUUGAGGAAAGACUUGGGUCAUCCCUGUAAUCCCAGCACUUCGGGAGGCUGAGGCGGGCGGAUCAUGAGGUCAAGCAAUCAAGACCAUUCUGGCCAACACGGUGAAACCCUGUCUCUACUAAAAAUACAAAAAUCAGCUGUGUGUGACAGCACGGCACCUGUAGUCCCAGCUACUCAGGGGGCUGAGGCAGGAGAAUCUCUUGAACCUGGGAGAUGGAGGUUGCAGUGAGAGGAGAUCGUGCCAGCCACUGCACUCCAGCCUGCGGGACAGCGCAAGACUCCGUCUCAAAAAAAAAAAAAAAAGAAGAAGAAGAAGAAGAAGAAAGAAAGACUUGGGGCUCAGCAUUGAGAGAUGUGCACGCAGUCCAGACAGAGAGAGGCAGAAGGGGAUUCAUCUGUACUACCCUACCACUUCUGAGAAAGCACAUGCAUCCAAACAGGAGUGCUUCUAUUCCAGUUCUGGGCUCAUUCAGCAACCUUCUGACAAUGGAUUUG